GAGGGUCAGGCCAACUUUCCCACCGCUAAUAACACGCUGGCUAUUUUACCUUUGCCCUCGUGGACAAGAAACUCGAUAUUGCUUACGUAAAGCUCAAAUGCUCUAGGUGGAGUUUGACCUGGUGGGUUUUGGCUAACUCAGCCAUACAUGUUGAGGUUGGCCAUUCAUUUGGUUUCUGAUCCGCCGACUGCCUCCCCCAACGAAAGGCCUGCUCUGAAAUCCCGGAUUGGACUGUCUGCUGCUUUUGCCUGAAGUUCCCUCUCACCUGGUCACCAGAAAAGGGAGGUUGGAGUCCACGUUUCAUGCCCUCCCGGAGCUCAGUCCACGGCCUGAGCUGAGACAAACAAGUCAGGGAUGGCUUAGACCAGUGAACGGGAACGCGGCCCCUCCGCUGAGGGUCCUAAGGGAGUGCACACCCCACAUUCUGCAUUUCUGACAAACAGAAUGGUGUUGCUGAUGCUGCAGGUUCACGAACCACACUUUUUCUCCAUCUGUUCAGAAGCUCUGAGAUCUUUCCUCUCAAAAUCAUCUUCCUCAUAGGCUUGCUUCAGUUCCUGUUACUAGAGAAUGAGCUGAGUCUCUGAGUCUGCUUGCCUUUCCUGACUCUUUCAAAACACUGGAUUAGCAUUUGAUGCUUUCUCAGCUAACAGGAUCAGGGAUUAGGUUUCAGCGGCUGAAAUCCAAACCAAAAUGGAGUGAGUCAGGACUGUGUUACCGAAGAGACAAAGGCUGCAGGGAACCCGGAGAGGAGCUUAUUGAUGACAUAAUCCUCCCCAGAGAAGGGGAAGCUAAGGAACAAAAGUGCAGCCACUCUUCCUGCCCUCAGAGGAGUUUCAAAGCGAGGCUGUCACCUAAAAACGCCCAAGGGACUGACAGCCUAGCAGCCAGAUCCCACUCUGCCUCAGGACGGGGAGACAAGCAAACCAGGAUGCAUUUGUGAAACCUCGUAUCAUUUAAAGCUUUCAUGAUUCAGUUUUCUGAAGGAAAAACAGUCAAAGACAAGUAUCUCCCCUUGGGAAUUCACUGCAUUUACUGCUCAGCCUAUCUCAGCAGUUGCUUGGCUUAUGUAACGGCAUUUUAUGUAAAUUCCACUGCAAAAUUACUGAUUUUCACCCCGGAUUGUUCACCCCCGAUUUUCGGCACUUGCACAGGCAAUAUGACUUAAUGACGCCGUGGAUGAUGUUGCCAAAUGAUGCAAAAUGUAGUUAAAUGUCUGCAUAGCAGUGACUAUUAAAACAGCACAACAGAACCUGAAGUCCCUUGCAGAAAAUUCUGGUGCACGUGACCAGGAGAGUGAGAAGCAGCUGUCUACAUGCAACAGUGAAAGUGACGCCAUUGUUUGCACGGGCGUGGACACAGUCAACGAUUCAUAGUGACCUCUGCUUUAAAAUUGAGUGAUUUUUUUUUUAAUUUGAGGGGUUUAUAGAUUUUUCAAAUUUGGAUGACAAGUUGAGACUUGUUAAUACUUUGGGGUCACACGAUUUUAAAUUCAUGUAGCUCAAAUUUGCAUUAAGUGCCACUGGACUGUGUAGUGAGCGCUUUUCCUUCUCAAGGAAGAAUCUCAAGGCAAAGCCCCACAAAGGAAGCAAGGCAGAUGGAAGCUACCUGUCUAGUUACCGAGGCCAGCCCUGUGUAGAUUAGGAGUAAAUGGGUUUUAGACAUGCCUCUGGUUCUUGGUCUUCAAAUGAUGUAUUCCCUGGUCCUUUCUACCUAGCACUGAAGUCCAGUAACCAAAGAAAUAUUUCCCUCAUUUUGUAUUCUUUUGGCUUCCCCUGACACCGGCUACCACAGCGGGACUCAAACAAAAUGACGUGAAGGCAACGUGAGGCACAAGUACAGCGGUGUCACCCUGUGGGUGGCCACACAGCAGCAGUCUUGAGACUUGGCUUGGCCACCAAAAAAGCAAAACUCCAAUCCAUUCCACUUCUCUGGGCUUCCGUUUCCCCGUAAGUCAAUAGUUUCGCACAUUGUCAGGAACGGGACGGAAUGCCCAAGACAGUGUGUGAGCUGCAUGACUACCUUCCUGGAGAGAGGAGCGUGCUUCACGUCAGGUGGGUCUCAGGUCACGAGCCCUCCCCUCUCAUCACUGCACCCAUCCUGCUCCUGAGCCACACAGGCGGUGCCGGGGUCUCACAUGCUGUGAAGAGAGGCCCCUGGGCUGCGCCCACUACUUUUGCCAAGUCUGUCAUUACGAACAGCCACAUCGAUGCCUCUCUACCCCGGCUUCAGUCUGCUCCUUCAGCCAACCCCAGAGGGGAUGAAAACACUAUCUUGGCACUAUUGUGCUGACCCUGACCUUGACUGCCUGGCUGUUCCUGGACAGGCCCACCUUCGGGUUCCUGAAUGGAAGGGACCUAGAUGCACAGUGUUUAUAUUUUCUAAAUUAAAAACACAUGAUUUGUUUCGCACACAAGAUUUGGAUACUGUUACAGUAAAAUAAUCAGAAAAAUAUGAAAAUCAGAUCAUAAUUAGUUAAGCCCCUAAUUAAUUUCCUUAGUCAAAAAGGAUCGGGUUCAUCUACCUAAGGAAACCCAGAGGAAGGCCCGCAGCCACCCACCUCCCCCUUAUUAGUGGGGAGCAGAAAUCCACCCCCCAAAACUACUCUCCAGCACGGGUUCAUUAGUCAAGCCCAAUCUCUUCUUCCAAGAUCCUUUCUGCUCUACAUAAAGGAAUAAAUUAAUUCUCAGCCUUAUGGAAAAAUAAACAAAACAAAGGCACACCUUCUUUCGGCUUUUAGGAAUUUCAAUGUAAAACAGUGUUUUAUUUGUCAAGCAAAGGCUUGCUGUUCACAACUCAUCUUCAGGAAUGGUGAUUUCCAGAGAGCUCUGGCAUCCCACAGUUUGGUCUCAUGCUGGAAAUCUCACAGUUUGUUUGUGUUUGCUCCUCAUUCUGUGAGGUGGGAGCAGAGCGAGCCAUUAAAUACGCAACUCCUUCCCGCUCCACCGGUGUGGGCGGCCACUGGUGUCAGUGAAAGCAGGGGGUGGAAAAUGAGCUGGGACCCCAACAUGGGCACACCGGGUCUGUCUGCUGUGGAGCUGAUGUGGACGUUGCAGACAUGUGGCUGCAGUCGGGAAGACAGCAGCUUACCGUGACAAGGUGCGGUGGGGACAGGCAGGUCACUUCUCGGGGAAACGAAGGCCUCAGGGGCCUGAGUCUCAUUCCACUCAUUUCUCCCAGAAGCAGUGCUCAGAAGAGGGUUGAUGAAGAGGUCAGAAUGCACAGUUAUUUUAGAGCCAUUUGGCCGUUCUGUCUGUGCUCAGCUACAAGGUCACUAGACAGAACUCUAAGGCCACUGGAACUGGCAACAGCUGACAUGGCCGGCCAACUUAUUUGGAGGAGAACCCACUUACCACAGACAAAGCCCUCUUGUCUCAGAGCAGCUUCCCACCCGCCAGCCUUUAGGAAAGAGUGAGAGACAUGUUCCUUGGGCCCUGACUUCAGCAGGCCUCCUACCAACCCCUCUGGCAGCAGAGACCUGAUCUGAACCCAACGGCGCCUUCGAACCAAAGUGCAGCCUGCCCUGUGGCACCGGGUCCCCCAGCGUCUCCAGCCCCAUCAGCGCUGAGAGGCACCAGGUCUCUUCUGAGUCAUUUAAAAAAAUACAGACAAGUGGUAUUUUUCUGGUUACAGAAACAACCGAGAACUGCAGCACUAAUUCUCAAGGUGAACUUGGCCCAUGGAAGUACAGUUGUAGACACUCUGACCCACCGGCCUGAGGGACAAGCUAUUUACACUUACUGGGGGACUCUGAGACUUGAAGGCCUCUGUGGAGUUCUUGAUUCUUUUGA